UAAGUCGUCCAACACCACCCCUCCCUCCCCCCUCGAGGAAAAAGAUGGCGGGUAUUCAAGCUAAAAGGGAGACACUUGUGUGGACUGAUGACGAAGUAGAACUGCUGCUUCGGGUCACACUUGACUACAAGACGACCAAACUGCAGGAGAAUGUUAACUGGGAGUCCUGCCAGUCCAAAUAUAGCGAUAUAAUGGACGCAUUUCUGGCGCAGUAUCCGAGGCAUCCGACCAACAAGGAUUUCCCUCACGAAGUUAACACCAUAACAAAAGCCCAGGUAACCGCCAAGGUAAAGAACAUACGAAGCAAAUUCAGACUGGCAGUGGAAACUGGUCGUCGGUGUGGCCAAGGGCGUGUGGUGCUCUUGUUUUUCGAGCUCUUAGAAGAGAUUUGGGGUAAGUCGUUUGCCACGCGCUCCAUCGACGCUGGUUUUGAGACUGGGGACCUGGAAGAAACGUCUUCCAUGCAAAGUUCAUCCCCGACUUUGGAGCUUUCUACCGAUUCGCCACACUCCAUCGAAUCACGCAGUAGUCUGCCUUCAAACCAGCGCAAGGAUGUGUUCCAGGCAAAGCUGACCACCCACAGAAGUGACCGGCCGAAGAGAAAACUUCCAACUGACCCUGCAGUGCAGGAAGACCUAAGAAUAAAAAAGAAAAUGUUGGAGAUAAUGGAGGAAUCGGCCAGACGCAACGCAGACAACAUGCAGCAGAUAAAUAGGAACAUUGCCAACAUUACAAGCAUUAUUCAGGAAGGUUUUUCUCUGAUGAGGCAAUUACUUGUCCAACCUCCCAGCACAUACCCCCACAGUACCAGCAGUGGAUAUGGACAAUGCAACGGACACUCACCAGCAUUCAUACAUAAAAGCCCACCCCUUACUACACCAGCCAGUCUGGGCCAAGAGGACCUAAAACAACCUCAUAUUAAAGAGGAACAUGUGGAAAAUGACAUCACAGAAUUUACAGCAAGUUCUGCCAUUGUGAAAAGUGAAGAUGAUGACAAAAAUCCUCAGUCUUCAGAAGUCAGUCACAUUCUGACUGAUGUGGACAGAGACUCUAUGGUAAAACUAGAAUGAGAUUCAGAUCUGCAUUUAUAAUCAGAUGCAAGACAAAAGUAUUGCAAAUGGUUUUAAAUAAUGGUGCAGAAGCCUAAAUUUUUAAUUUCACUCAAUGCAUCAUCUACUUUCUCUUUGUUUCUUCGAUCACCCUGUCCACUUCCAUCACAUCUAUAUUGGAGGAGGAAAACGUGUGACACAGGGCUCUUCAGCUCCAGUCCUCAACAGCUACUGUCCUGCAGGUUAAAGACACUUCCGUACUCCAGAACACCAGAUUCAUAUGAAAUGGAUCUAAGAGCUUGUCAGCCUCUGCACAGUGACCCAUUAAUUUGAGUCAAGUAUUUUGAAGCAAGAAAACAUCUAAAGCCUGCAGCACAGUGGCCCUUGGAGGCCUUAGUUAAAGAUUUUUUCUGAGGUUUGAACCU